AUUCAGAGAGGUCAUUGCGGACGUUGAGCAGCCAGAUCCUUUGGUGGUGAGGGUCGACUCCCUGUGCACGGUUGUGGUUGGACACUUCGGCGGUGUUGUUGAGCACAUGAAUUCCGGCGGCUAGAAGAAAGAAUCACUAACACAGUCCGUGGAAUCGACCGGCAAGGUGAACCCAGAGGUGCCGGGGUGGACCAGAAGGUACAAAUGAAAUUAGUGUUCUUUAUGACGAGAUGGUUUUGAUUUUUGCAACUAAUGUCACAUAUUUUCUGUGUAUGUCAAUGGAUGCAUGGGGCUAUGAUUACUAGUGUCAGCUGGCUGCAGUCUGCACUCCUAAUUUUUGUGGUUGAGAAUUGGCCGUGCACCUCCGGAUAGGGCACUCUGCCCCUGGUAGAGUCACUCCACUGGAAGAAACAAAUCGGACAAUGUAGAGAAACCAGAGAUUGGGAUGAGUUUUGACUCCCUAGGGAAGCCUACGAUUUCUAUAAGUUGUAUAAGAUAUGGCAACUGUUGUCUGAAUGUCGAGCGGACAAAUUGUAUGCAGGAGAUCGUCUAUGGAUCCUCGGGAAAUCCUGAGCAGCAGAAUAGCUGGUCUUGCCGGUGCGAGUGCCCUUCAAUGAUCAGACUUCUUAGAGCUGCUCACAAUGGAUGGUUGAUAGCUGAACACCGGUCAAGCCACAACCAUUCAAUGUACCUUACUUGCGGUGAAAAGGUUCAUUGGCCGUCCUACAAGCACAUAGAUAUGUAGACAAAAGACUUAGUGAAGCAGCUUAGGGGGAACAAUGUGAACCUCAACAAGGUGUACAUCAUAGUUGUCAGCUUCUCCUGUUCAUCUCAGAAUGUGCCUUUGACAAAGCGGUCUUCUCCCGAAUCUGUGUGGCAGGAUAAGUCGAGACCAGGCUGCCGAUGAUGUGAACAAGACCCUUGCUGUGUUUAAAGAGAUACAGCGCAACGACCCUUGUGGACAAAUGAAAACAACAAGCUGCAGUACAAAUUCUUUGGUGAUGUCAUCACAUUUGACACAACGUAUCGGACUAAUUAAUCUCUAUGACAUGCCCUUUGGGUUGUUUGUUGGAGUGAACAAUCACUUCCAGAGCGUAAUUCUAGCUGGUGUCUGGGUGCGUGACGAGCAAGUGAGAACUUCCAAUGGGUGUUCUCUGAAUUCAUUAACAUGAUGAGGGGUAUACACUUGCAGACAAUACUGACAGAUAUGUACAUCGCUCUCUGAGCAGCACAUAUUACGGCUAAUAUGUGAAUUGUACAUACAAAUAACUAUGUUGUUCCAUGUGCAAAUUGCAGAUCAAGUGAGAGCCAUGGAAUUGCAAUCAAGACUGAGUUACCCGGGACUGUGCACACCUACUUGGUGGCCCCGAUGAUAUGGUCGGGGGAGGCGGUGGCGUUAUGUCCACAACGAGGAUAUAUAUAUUCUUUAGCAUAUACAUAUUUUUUUUUCAAGUACUACUACAUACUUAAUAAUUAGUCUUAACUUCUGGAGUGUGAAUUGCCUAUAUAGUGUCAGUUUUCAGAAAACAACCUUGUUUAUGUGAUAGUUCAAUGGUCGAAUGAUAUUAUUCUUGACAAACUUGUUUUAUAGAAACAAAUGGUGUUGCACAUACACGUCUUAGAAAAAUCAACAAGCAGUAUUGGUGGUUUGUGAGAACUGUACCUUUGA